rnacentral:tRNA from 1 species
UCCCGUGUUGCUCAAGUUGGUAGAGUAUGACGCUUGCAACGUCAAGGUUGUGGGUUUGAUUCCCACAGGGGGAC